rnacentral:rRNA from 1 species
UACGGAGGAUGCAAGCGUUAUCCGGAAUGAUUGGGCGUAAAGCGUCCGCAGGUGGCUGUGUAAGUCUGCUGUCAAAGAGCAAAGCUCAACUUUGUAAAGGCAGUGGAAACUACACGGCUAGAGUGCGUUCGGGGCAGAGGGAAUUCCUGGUGUAGCGGUGAAAUGCAUAGAGAUCAGGAAGAACACCGGUGGCGAAGGCGCUCUGCUAGGCCGCAACUGACACUGAGGGACGAAAGCUAGGGGAGCGAAUGGG